AGUGAACGCUGGCGGUAGGCCUAACACAUGCAAGUCGAACGGCAGCACAGUAAGAGCUUGCUCUUACGGGUGGCGAGUGGCGGACGGGUGAGGAAUACAUCGGAAUCUACUUUUUCGUGGGGGAUAACGUAGGGAAACUUACUCUAAUACCGCAUACGACCUACGGGUGAAAGCAGGGGAUCUUCGCACCUUGCGCGAUUGAAUGAGCCGAUGUCGGAUUAGCUAGUUGGCGGGGUAAAGGCCCACCAAGGCGACGAUCCGUAGCUGGUCUGAGAGGAUGAUCAGCCACACUGGAACUGAGACACGGUCCAGACUCCUACGGGAGGCAGCAGUGGGGAAUAUUGGACAAUGGGCGCAAGCCUGAUCCAGCCAUACUGCGUGGGUGAAGAAGGCCUUCGGGUUGUAAAGCCCUUUUGUUGGGAAAGAAAAGCAGCAGGUUAAUACCCCGCUGUUCUGACGGUACCCAAAGAAUAAGCACCGGCUAACUUCGUG
rnacentral:rRNA from 1 species